rnacentral:rRNA from 1 species
CCUACGGGUGGCAGCAGUGAGGAAUAUUGGUCAAUGGCCGUAAGGCUGAACCAGCCAAGUCGCGUGAAGGAAGAAGGAUCUAUGGGUUGUAAACUUCUUUUAUAGGGGAAUAAAGGUCACCUCGUGUGGUUAUUUGCAUGUACCCUAUGAAUAAGCAUCGGCUAACUCCGUGCCAGCAGCCGCGGUAAUACGGAGGAUGCGAGCGUUAUCCGGAUUUAAUGGGUUUAAAGGGUGCGUAGGUUGUUGUUUAAGUCAGCGGUGAAAGUUUGUGGGACAACCCUAAAAUUGCCGUUGAAACUGGAAGACGUGAGUGUGUGUGAGGUAGGCGGAAUGCGUGGUGUAGCGGUGAAAUGCAUAGAUAUCACGCAGAACUCCGAUUGCGAAGGCAGCUUACUAGGCGAUAACUGACGCUGAGGCACGAAAGCGUGGGUAUCGAACAGGAUUAGAUACCCGAGUAGUC